AUUGAACGCUGGCGGCAUGCCUUACACAUGCAAGUCGAACGGUAACAGGUCUUCGGAUGCUGACGAGUGGCGAACGGGUGAGUAAUACAUCGGAACGUGCCUAGUAGUGGGGGAUAACUACUCGAAAGAGUGGCUAAUACCGCAUGAGAUCUACGGAUGAAAGCAGGGGAUCGCAAGACCUUGUGCUACUAGAGCGGCCGAUGGCAGAUUAGGUAGUUGGUGGGAUAAAAGCUUACCAAGCCGACGAUCUGUAGCUGGUCUGAGAGGACGAUCAGCCACACUGGGACUGAGAAACGGCCCAGACUCCUACGGGAGGCAGCAGUGGGGAAUUUUGGACAAUGGGCGAAAGCCUGAUCCAUCAAUGCCGCGUGCAGGAUGAAGGCCUUCGGGUUGUAAACUGCUUUUGUACGGAACGAAAAGCCCCGGGUUAAUACCCUGGGGUCAUGACGGUACCGUAAGAAUAAGCACCGGCUAACUACGUGCCAGCAGCCGCGGUAA
rnacentral:rRNA from 1 species